rnacentral:rRNA from 1 species
GACGAACGCUGGCGGCGUGCUUAACACAUGCAAGUCGAACGAUGAAGAAGAGCUUGCUCUUCGGAUUAGUGGCGAACGGGUGAGUAACACGUGACUAACCUGCCCCUUUCUCUGGGAUAACGCUCCGAAAGGAGUGCUAAUACCGGAUACUCACAUCGAGGCACAUGCCUUGAUGUGGAAAGUUUUUCGGAAAGGGAUGGAGUCGCGGCCUAUCAGCUUGUUGGUGAGGUAACGGCGCACCAAGGCGACGACGUGUAGCCGGCCUGAGAGGGCGACCGGCCACACUGGGACUGAGACACGGCCCAGACUCCUACGGGAGGCAGCAGUGGGGAAUAUUGCACAAUUGGCGAAAGCCUGAUGCAGCGACGCCGCGUGAGGGAUGAAGGUCUUCGGAUUGUAAACCUCUUUCAGUAAGGACGAAGCGAAAGUGACGGUACCUAAAGAAGAAGCACCGGCUAACUACGUGCCAGCAGCCGCAGUAA